GGGUUCCUGGCAUAGGCGACAGGCAGACAGUCCUCGAGCCGAUAAGUCUAUACCCGGAAGUUCCUCGCCACUGUUGGUGUGCAUGUCCGGCAGCGACCGGAACGCCUGAUACAGUGCAGGAACCUCCUCCUUGAACCGUCGGGUUCAAGGGCGACUCUGCCACCGUUAUGCCGGGAAUCCU
rnacentral:other from 1 species